AACGAACGCUGGCGGCAGGCUUAACACAUGCAAGUCGAACGCGUGCAGCAAUGCACGAGUGGCGCACGGGUGAGUAACGCGUGGAUAUCUGCCUUUUGGUUCGGAAUAACCCCGGGAAACUGGGACUAAUACCGGAUGGUUCCUACGGGAUAAAGAUUUAUCGCCAAAAGAUGAGUCCGCGUCCGAUUAGCUAGUUGGUGAGGUAAUGGCUCACCAAGGCGACGAUCGGUAGCUGGUCUGAGAGGACGAUCAGCCACACUGGGACUGAGACACGGCCCAGACUCCUACGGGAGGCAGCAGUGGGGAAUAUUGGACAAUGGGGGCAACCCUGAUCCAGCCAUGCCGCGUGAGUGAUGAAGGCCUUCGGGUUGUAAAGCUCUUUUGGCGGGGACGAUGAUGACGGUACCCGCAGAAUAAGCCCCGGCUAACUUCGUG
rnacentral:rRNA from 1 species